UAAUAACGAUAAUAAAAUUAAAAAUAUACUGUAAAUAGUACCGUUACAUCAUGUUUGUAACAAGAGCAAAGGAAGGUUCUGGAGGACAAAGCCGAGCCAUUGGUGGAGCUGUGAUGGACGGAUAGUGCAUAAGUGGAUAGUAAUAGUGGUGGUUUAGGGGCGUCCAAAGGGGCUGACGACGAUCAUUCUGAGGAGGGGAGGACGUCGUUGGAGACUUUGAGGACGGACAUUUCUGUGCUACCAACACGAAACAUCCUGUAUUGUUGAAGAUGAGGUCUUCCAAAAUAAAACUGUCAGGCAGCUCCAGCUUGUUCAGAAAGCUGCUGCUAGAGUUCUAACAAAGACCAAAAAAUG
ensembl:lncRNA